GAGAGUGCAUGUCCAUCAAGGUCACGCUUGAGACUAGCAGAGGCGAAACCAGCGGGAAGACGACUUCGCCACCAAGGGCGGGCGGGCCUGCUGGGAUACUCCGGGUGAGUGGGACGCACUGGGCGGGGUUUCGCCGUUCCGAGGAUGUCGGGGAAGGGGGGUCACUGCCAGAUGGAGGUUCCGGUUCCGGUGCAGUGUCUGGCUGGUUGCGUUGCUACGGCAGCGCGGUUGAGCGCUCUCGUCUGUGUGAUCGGGGCUUCGCUGACUUUCCGGCCUACUUAAGCCCCUGGGCCUGGGCCCAGGAAGGGUUUGUUGAACCGGGAGCUAAGAAGGGAAUUGGCUCGUUCGACAGACGUUUUCUGCGCAGCUGUGGCGUGCAAGGCACGGGGCCGGUGCGGGACCUCCAGAGAGACCUGUGCCCAAAGCUUGAGAAAUGAGAAGCAGAUUCCUGGAUUCCAGGUAAAUCAGAGGAACAAACCUGAACAGAAAUAUACAGGAAGUGAUGUGAUGCUGAAGCUUAACGCUUAUUUCAGAAGUCUGGUAUCUGGUGCUCUUAACAGCAAAAACUAUAUUAUUUGCAAAAUCACCACGCUUUUACUUGUAUUAUAUAGUAAUUUUUAAAAAAAUAAAUAUUGACAAUUUGUUCUUGAAA
rnacentral:lncRNA from 1 species